CUUUACAGGGCCAAGUGCACUGUAGUGCAAAUUGCAGCCUUAACUCCAGACAUGUUUGAUUUUUCUUACUCCAGCAGAGAUUGCCUUUGAGCAUGAAGUUGAUGCUUUGGAUCCAGAGAAGUUAAUACAAUGUCCAUAUGAUAAAUCUCAUCAAAUCAGGGCCUGUCGGUUUCCCUAUCAUCUUAUAAAGUGCAGGAAGAACCACCCUGAUAUUGCAAAGCAGCUAGCCACAUGCCCCUUUAAUGCCUGCCAUCUGGUUCCCAGAGAUGAGAUCAGCCAUCAUAUAUCAAGCUGUGAUGACAAAAGCUGCAUUGAGCAAGACAUUGUGAGUCAGUCGAAUAACUGCUACAGAGAGAAGAUGAACACUGUCAGCAUGUGGCAGCCGCCCCCAUGUGACGAAGACUGGGAUAAAGAUCUACAGGAGCAAUCAAAUUCUACGUUCGUUUGGGGCACGUUCAAUAGUGUCAUAAACAACAG